GCAGAACGCGAAGAACCUUACCCACCUUUGACAUGUACGGAAGUUGCCAGAGAUGGCUUCGUGCUCGAAAGAGAGCCGUAACACAGGUGCUGCAUGGCUGUCGUCAGCUCGUGUCGUGAGAUGUUGGGUUAAGUCCCGCAACGAGCGCAACCCUUGUCAUUAGUUGCUACGAAAGGGCACUCUAAUGAGACUGCCGGUGACAAACCGGAAGAAGGUGGGGAUGACGUCAAGUCCUCAUGGCCCUUAUAGGUGGGGCUACACACGUCAUACAAUGGCCGGUACAAAGGGCAGCCAACCCGCGAGGGGGAGCUAAUCCCAUAAAGCCGGUCGUAGUCCGGAUCGCAGUCUGCAACUCGACUGCGUGAAGUCGGAAUCGCUAGUAAUCGUGGAUCAGCAUGUCACGGUGAAUACGUUCCCGGGUCUUGUACACACCG
rnacentral:rRNA from 1 species